rnacentral:lncRNA from 1 species
AUUUAAUAAUUUUUUCACUUUAAAAUAUAAAAUACCGUUUAUCUAUACAGAUUGAGUAGAGCUACUAUACUAUUAUUAUGAGUAUAGAGGUUUUCGUACUAAUAAAAUAUUUUCGAUGAUGAAAAUUUUAAAUUGACGAUCCAUACCAUUAAAUAUGAUCUAAAACAUUUGAAGUAUAUAGAAAUCGAAUUUUGUAAUUUUUCUAAUAUAUAAUAAAGCUCAUCGAGCUGUUUUAAAUGAACAGUCAAAAACGAGAGAUCUUCUAAAAAUAAGGAAUAGUGUUUUUAAAUUCAAGAUUGCAGUUCUCAAUCCUGAUCUAUAUAAUGAAUAUAAUUUUUUAUAAAAAUUUAGUCGAUUUCGAUUUUUCUACACUGUUAACUCGAAAAUGCUUUAUACCGACCAUUAAAAAUGCCAAUUUUGAAGCACUUCGAUCGUAAACAUAUGUGUCAAAAAAUUAUGAAAUUUGAUUUCUAAAAUAUUUAAGUAUUCUAAAUUAUAUUUAACGAUAUGAAUCGUCGAUUCAGAAGCUCUAUCAUAGAACAUGACUUAUGAGUACAAAGACGAUGAUACUUAUAAUAGUAUAUAUAGUAGCUAUCCUUAAUUCAUAUAUUUUAUGUAACACAUGAAAUCAUAAUAUUAAUAAAGUAAACGAUACACCUAGAUGAUUCUAAAUUUUGUAUCGACAAAAUUAUAAAACAAUUCAAAUUAAAUAAAUUGAAAGAUUAGACAUCAAAAUUAAAAUUUU